CGACCCAAGCUGAAGGCAGACGCCUAAACAUCUGAGCCACCCAGGAGCCCCAGCUUACUUUAUUUCAAACUUAUACCCAAUUGAUUGUUUCAGUCAGCCAGACAGGAGCACCAGACUCUAGAUUCCCUGGGAUCAGAACUGUAUUUUACACAGAUUAUCAUUCCUUUUAUGAAGGAGCCUGCUACUUAACCCUUUGCGGCCCAUUGGAGCAUGACUUUCUUUCCAACCUUUCUAUAUGAAUAUAUUUCUUCAGCCCUGAUGUUGAAUCCGUCAGACAAUCAAAGACUUUGUACCAUCGGAAGGGGCCCUAGAGAUCAUUUAGGGAAGUCCCUCCCUUUGCAGAUGAGAAUAUUGGGGCCUAGCAAUGGGAAGGGACAGUCCAACAUAAAAGCGGGGACUGGGACCCAGGGCUCCCAAGCAGCCCGCUCAGUGCUCUCUCUACCCCACCAGAUGUCUCUGUUCUAAGAUUCUCUUCCUCUCAAUUUGGUGUCCUAGAGUUUUUUUUUUCUUUCUUUUGUGAACUAAGGCAGCCUUAGACACAUUAAAUUCAGCCAUCUCCAUCAAGCCGGUUUCCCCAUUUUUAUCACUGUUCAGGCAGCUCUUUACGUAGCUCCAGUGAGUAUGUGUUAUCCUUGUAUUUUGUAAUUUUUACAUAACAUUGCUUCAUAUACUCGCUUCCAGGAAACAGUAUCUCAUUGUGCUACUCCACCAUGGAUGGCUUAGCCAAUUACAUAUUAUUGGACACUCAAAAUCAACAGGCACCUGGAAGUAUAUGCACAAAACUGUUAGCAAUGCUGUGGAAGAGCUCUUCUACUAGUCUUCAGGUCAUUCUCAGAGUGAGUGAACAGGCGGCAUGUUAACAAAGAUCUCAAGAGAGUCUGAUUCACAGACCCUGGGUGCAGUAGGCAGGGGCUUUUGCCCAACUCCAAAGGGAGACGUUCUCCAGAGCAAGAAGGUCCAAGAGUAAGUAGUACUUUGCACCAUUCAUCAUCAUUGUGCUCUAGAGACCCCUUGUAAUUGAAAUGUGCCUGCUGGGGUAUGAGAGGGUGUGGAACCACCUCACUGCCACCUGACUGGGCCUUCCUAGGGCCUAGGAAACUGCCCUUGGGGCUGUAGGCUGUGAUGGGCUGGCCAGAGAAACAGAGACAGCAGGAAGCUUCU